ensembl:ncRNA F52E4.12 ncRNA
UAUAUCUCCCGUAUUGUUACGCGCGCGCGGAUCGGUUGUCCCUCCUUCUCCUCUCCAGAUUCCUCGAGAUAAGGCAAGUGAAAGUCAGAUCUACAACACCGGGAGUGAAGCCGUAGGGGGGGGGGGGGGG